rnacentral:rRNA from 1 species
AUUGAACGCUGGCGGCAUGCUUUACACAUGCAAGUCGAACGGCAGCGCGGGCUUCGGCCUGGCGGCGAGUGGCGAACGGGUGAGUAAUUCAUCGGAACGUGCCCAGUAGUGGGGGAUAGCCCGGCGAAAGCCGGAUUAAUACCGCAUACGACCUGAGGGUGAAAGCGGGGGACCGAAAGGCCUCGCGCCAUUGGAGCGGCCGAUGUCGGAUUAGCUAGUUGGUGGGGUAAAGGCUUACCAAGGCGACGAUCCGUAGCUGGUCUGAGAGGACGACCAGCCACACUGGGACUGAGACACGGCCCAGACUCCUACGGGAGGCAGCAGUGGGGAAUUUUGGACAAAGGGGGCAACCCUGAUCCAGCCAUGCCGCGUGCGGGAAGAAGGCCUUCGGGUUGUAAACCGCUUUUGUUCGGGAAGAAAUCCUCUGGGCUAAUACCCCGGGGGGAUGACGGUACCGGAAGAAUAAGCACCGGCUAACUACGUG